AGCAGCCGCGGUAAUUCCAGCUCCAAUAGCGUAUAUUAAAGUUGUUGCAGUUAAAAAGCUCGUAGUUGAAUUUCGGGGUCUGUCCAUUGGUCGGGCUUUAGGUCCGUACUGGUGUGAUGGGUUCCUACCUUCUGAAUAACCAGCAUGCCAUUUAGUUGGUGCGCCGGGGAAGCAGAGCUAUUACCUUGAAAAAAUUAGAGUGCUUAAAGCAGGCUAUUUGCUUGAAUACAUUAGCAUGGAAUAAUAGAAUAGGACAGAGGUUCUAUUUUGUUGGUUUCUAGGACCGCUGUAAUGAUUAAUAGGGAUAGUCGGGGGCGUCCGUAUUCAAUUGUCAGAGGUGAAAUUCUUGGAUUUAU
rnacentral:rRNA from 1 species